rnacentral:rRNA from 1 species
GAUGAACGCUAGCGGCAGGCCUAACACAUGCAAGUCGAGGGGCAGCACAGAAACAGCAAUGUUUUGGUGGCGACCGGCGGACGGGUGCGUAACGCGUAUGCAACCUACCUUUAACAGGGGGAUAGCGGAGAGAAAUUUCCACUAAUACCCCAUAACAUCGAUCAAGGCAUCUUGAUUGGUUGAAAACUCCGGUGGUUAAAGAUGGGCAUGCGUUGUAUUAGGUAGUUGGUGAGGUAAUGGCUCACCAAGCCUACGAUACAUAGGGGGACUGAGAGGUUAGCCCCCCACACUGGUACUGAGACACGGACCAGACUCCUACGGGAGGCAGCAGUGAGGAGUAUUGGUCAAUGGGGGCAACCCUGAACCAGCCAUGCCGCGUGCAGGAAGACGGCUCUAUGAGUUGUAAACUGCUUUUAAACAGGGAUAAAGCACAGUAUGUAUACUGUGUUGAAGGUACUGUAAGAAUAAGGAUCGGCUAACUCCGUGCCAGCAGCCGCCGUAA